UUCCCCGGGGUAGCCUCGGACGGCCAUAAAAGCGUGUCUCCACCUCCAGUACCUGUAGAGUGUGAUGUGACCGCUGAGCCCACGCACCGUCAGCUCACUCCCGAUCCAGAUCCACUCGUUCCACUUCAGUCUGCGGCGACGACUUUCCUCCUCCCACGCAGAUCUCGUCGGCGCGAGCACCAGAUCAGCCGCAGCGCCGAAGGUAGUCCGCCUUCUCCUCGCUCCGUCUUGUAGAUCCAUCUCAGGCUCUCGCUCUCGAUCUGUCCUCUUCUUUUUCCUUUUCGGCGUCCAUUUCUUGUGGAUCUGAUCCGGAUUCAUGCUUUGCAGAGCUCGAUCUGCUCUGCUGUCAACUUCUUCAGCGUCGCGAACUGGAGGCGGAGAGCCGCUGCUCGGUGUUCGUUCAGGCUGCUCUUCUUCAACCUUCCGCCUCUGGCGUCGUCUCUCCUCCUCCCGGAUCCCGGUCGAGAUCUCAUCCACCGCCAGGUCGCACCCUGCUUCCUCAGGGUGCAGCCUUGUGGUCACGAGGCGAGGUCGCCGUCUUCGCGUCAACUGGAAUCACAUCUGGCGUCGACAAGCUUACUGUUUCCUCCGGCCUGAUCUGGCAUCGACAAGCAGUUUCCUCCGGUUGGAUCUGGCAUCGACAAGCUUACUGUUUCCUCCGGUUUGAUCUGCAUCCAUCUGGAAUCAAAUAACCUGUUUGAUCUUCCCUGCUUCAGAUUUUCUUCACUGCAUCGAUCUGGACUCCCUCCGAGCACCUCCCGACUGCAAGGUAAGGUCUUCCCGAGCUUUCCCUUCAGCGGUUACUGGUUCAACAGAAAGUAUGCUUCCAUACUUGCUGCAUUUCUUUGCUUGGUUAUAGUGGUGUACUGGUGUCUCAAACUUUCUGCUUGCGCAUAUUAUUUCUUUGCUUGCACCUUUGAAUGCUUGUGAAGUUCUUUUUUUUUGGGUGAGAAACUGCUUGUGAAGUUGUGUAGCUUACUGUAUUUCCUUCUAUUAUGGUAAAUCGGACGCCCUUUAAUUGUUAGUAUAAUCUUUUAAACUGGAGUUAAUAUGCGUAAAAUCAAUUAUUGGUCCUGAACUUAUUUCAGUCUGAGCUUGUCUGGCGAUAUAUCUAAAGAACGCUUGCGAAUAUGCUGAAUCUGCUGGAACUUGCUAAAACUAUCACUGAUUGGCACAUAGUACUCGUUUAUUCUAUUUAAAAGAGAAUCAACUGGCUAUGAAAUUCUUUUCUUCAUCUCUUUUGCUGUGAUACUUUUAGUAGGUCAUUUCCUCUUUUUUAAUAUAAAUUUGCUACCUUUUUACACUUCCUAGAUGCACAAUAUUUUUAUUUUUUUGUUGUAAAUUCCUUAUGAUUAUUGAUCACAUCUGGGGAGAAGAAAAUGUGAAGAUUUGUAAAAAAUUCUUUGUAGUUGAAUAAUCAUAACAUAACAUACAAGAUUACUAUCUUUGAAGCAUAUCACUUUUUCUGUGAUAACAUAAUUCAUAAGAAACCUCUUUCAAAUAAGACUCUCAAAUAAUUUUCUAUAGAAAAUAUAUCGUAAUGAGAACAUAUGUUCACGUGAAUUAGAGAAAAUAUCGAGAGCUAUUUUCAAGAAAUGUGGUGGUGUACCAUAGCCAUUAUUGCUGUAACUACUAUUUUUGUUAGUAAUAAACCAAAUGGAGCAAAAAUUAUUGAUUCUGUUUGCUCAAUUUUAUGUGUCAUGAGGUAACAAAAGAUGCUAUAUUUGAAGGAAAUGGAAGGGAUAUUAUUGCUCAAUUGUUAUGAUUUGCUUCCCAUUUGAAGACUAGUUUAUUAUAUAUAAGCAUAUUUUUGUAAGUUUGAGAGAGAGAUCACAAGAAGAUCCACUUCAAGAGCCAUUGGACCGCUGAGAAAUAUGUUUAGAUAUAAUAAACAAGUCUUUAGAUGGGAAGGCAGAUCAUAAUAGCUGAGCGAAAUGUAAGUGAUACCGUUGCUCAAUUGUUAUGAUCUGCUUCUCAUCUGAAGACUAGUUUAUUACAUAUAAGCAUAUUCUUGAAAGUUUGAGAGAGAGAGAGAGAGAUCACAAGCAGAUCCCGUGCAGAAGAGAACAUCACUGAUACAACUAUAAUAAUUCUUCCACUUCAAGAGCCAUUGGGUCGCUGAGAAAUAUCUUUAGAUAUAAUAAACAUGUCUUCAGAUGAGAAGGCAGAUCAUAAUAGCUAAGCAAUAAUAUCAUUUUCAUUUUUUCUUUCGAACUAGCAUCUUUUGUAACCCCACAACCCGUAGCAUUGAGCAAACACAACCAAUCAUUAUUUGCUCUAUUUGGUUAUUACUAACCAAAAUACUAGUUAUAAUAAUGAUGGUUAAUGGUACACCUCCACAUAUUUUCAAAAUAGCUCUUGCUACUUACUCCAUUUUUCAUGCGGACACCUAUUCUUGCAUUCUCAUAUAGAGAAUUGUUCAUCUCUGAGUCUGUGAUACUACUUUUAUUAUGUCAUUUCCUCUUUUUAAUCCAAUUUAGCUGCCUUUUUACUCUUCCUAGCUAGCACAGUAUUGAUAAUUCAUUAUCUUCAUUGUGAUUCCUAAAUUCCCAUAGCUCGUUUAAAUAAAUUGAUGUGCCAAUUAAUAUUUCUAUUUUUUUGUAAAUACCUUAUGAUUAUUGAUUACAUGUGGGUAGAAAAAAAAGGUGAAGAUUAAGUGUUGUUUGUAUACAUUUUAGUUGUAUCGGAUAUCAUCAUAACAAAAUGCAAAAUUAGUAUCUUCUAAGCAUAUCACUUUUUCUGUGAUACAUAGUUCAUGAGAAACCUCUUUCAAAUAAGACUCUCAAAUAAUUUUCUAUAUAAAAUAUCGAGAAUAUAUGUUCACGUGAAUUGGAGAAAAUAUAACAAGAUGCAAAAUUAGUAUCUUUGAAGCAUAUCACUUUUUUUGUGAUACAUAGUUCAUGAGAAACCUCUUUCAAAUAAGACUCUCAAAUAAUUUUCUAUAGAAGAUAUAUCACGAUGAGAAUAUAUGUUCACGUGAAUUGGAGAAAAUAUCGAGAGCUAUUUCGAAGAAAUGUGGCAGUGUAUCAUAGCCAUUAUUACUAUAGCUACUAUUUUGGUUAGUAAUAAUACCAAAUGCAGCAAAAAAAUUAUUGGUUUUGUUUGCUCAAUUUUAUGCCUCAUGAGGUUACAGAAGAUGCUAUUUUGAAGAAAAUAAAAGGGAUAUUGUUGCUCCAAUUGUUAUGAUUUGCUUCUCAUCUGAAGACUAGUUUAUUACAUAUAAGCAUAUUUCUGUAAGUUUGAGAGAGAUCAUAAACAAGCGAUCGCCACAUGUUGACAGGGCUGCUCGACCGGCAGAGCAGUCCAGCAGCCGCAGCGGACGACUGAACGUGUUGCACCCCACCGCACCAUACAACUAUAAUAAUUCUUCCACUUCAUGAGCCAUUGGACUAUUGGGAAAUAUGUUUAGAUAAUAAACAAGCCUUCAGAUGAGAAGGCAGAUCAUAAUAGGUGAGCAAUAAUUUUUUUUUCUUUCAAACUAGCACCUUUUGUAACCCCACAACCCAUAGCAUUGAGCAAGCACAACCAAUCAUUGUUUGCUCUAUUUGAUUAUUACUAACCCAAAUACUAGCUAUAGUAAUGAUGGCUAAUGGUACACCUCCAGAUUUUUCAAAAUAGCUCUCGCUACUUACUCCAUUUUUCAUGCGGACAUAUGUUCUCGCUCUAAAAUAUUCGUAUAUAGAGAAUUAUUGGAGAGUCUUAUUUUAAAUAUGUUCAGUUCUAUUAAUUAUGUCAUCAUAGGAAGAGUGACAUUAUUUGUAGACACUAAUUUGCGUGUUAUUACGAUUAUCUGACUACAGAGAUUGGUUUUUGACACACCAUACUUAAUAAAUCUUCACAUGUUGUUUUGCAUGAUGCGUGUUGUUUUUCUUCUCCGAUGAGGCCUGCCCUUCGCUCACAUCUCAAAAGUCCCGAGGAACAUGAAGAUCAGCGCACCAGCAGUCAGCAGCUCAAGUUCACCGACCCAGGAAAGAUAUAUAGGAACUAGUAGUAUAUCAUAGGGGCACCAGUGCAAAUCAAAAUAGUGUUUCUGGCUUUUGCUAUCACGCUGUGUACUCCCCAUUCCGAUAUGGUUGAAUCGCUGGAGAGGGCAACUUUGUUUGUAGGUGCCAAUAUUCAUGUGUCUCUUUGCUGAGGGCCUGAGCAUGUCAUCUGUUGUCUUGGGGACAUGAGCCUCAUGGUAUUUCAGGAUACUUCCAUGAUGCCAAACAUCUCCGAAGUCAAUUCACAUGGCUUUGCUUCCUCCUCUCCUUUUACAUGUUGCUGCUGUACAUGUGCUCUUCAGCCUGUAACUAAAAGUGUUGAUGAUUUUGUUCACUUUGUGCUUGCAGUUUUCUUUUGAGGGGAUUGUGUUUGCAGAUUUUGGUUCAAUCUCUUUACAUUUUGCCAUGACCAAUUGCACGUGCUUACAAGGAAAGGGAGUCUGUAAAAACAUGACUUUUUUUAAGGCUGUAAAAACAUUACUUGUAGUUUUUGGUACCGUGUGGUUGAAAAAAGUUUGAAGGCGCUUAUGGAAACAAAGGUUGUCCUGGUAUAUGAUCCGCUUGCUGUCUCUUGAUGAUGGCAACGGGCCGCG
rnacentral:lncRNA from 1 species